CCGGGACUGACUUUGAAAAAGUCAUCUCCAUGACCCUUUUUGUUUAUUCAAAAAUGUCUUUUUCUUCGGCAAGACGUCUGAUUUUCGAAUUGGCCAUUGACUCGUAAGAGUGAAUGAGUUUGCUUGCCGAAGUAUAUACUCUUUUAUACUAUUGUCUGAGUAACCAAAAAAUAAAUUA
rnacentral:misc_RNA from 1 species